rnacentral:rRNA from 1 species
UAAGGAAUAUUGCUCAAUGGGAGAAAUCCUGAAGCAGCAACGCCGCGUGGAGGAUGAAGGGUCUAUGACUUGUAAACUCCUGUAAAGAAGGAAAAAAUUCCCAUUUGAUGGGAGAUGAUGGUACUUCUGGAGUAAGCCCCGGCUAACUACGUGCCAGCAGCCGCGGUAAUACGUAGGGGGCAAGCGUUGUCCGGAUUUACUGGGUGUAAAGGGUGCUCAGGCGGAUUUGUAAGUCAGAGGUGAAAUCUUACAGCUUAACUGUGAAACUGCCUUUGAUACUGCAAGCCUAGAGUAUGGAAGAGAGUGAUGGAAUAUCUGGUGUAGCAGUGAAAUGCGUAGAUAUCAGAUAGAACACCAAUGGCGAAGGCAGCCACUUGGUCCAUUACUGACGCUAAAGCACGAAAGCGUGGGUAGCAAACA